GAAUACAUUUAAUAACCUUUAAAAUUCAUUACAGAAGCUAAGCAGGGUCGGGCCUGGUUAGCACUUGGAUGGGAGACCACUUAGGAAAACCAGGUGCUGUAGGCG
rnacentral:rRNA from 1 species